GCUGUCCUUCAUCACAACUGAAGACACAGAAAUCCUCCUCAUCUAAAACAUGACUUUGAUCUGCGUCCUCAUCUGGACUCUCCUCUGCUGCUGCUUCACAGAGGUCAGAGGUCAGAUCUCAGUAACUCAGCAGCCUGCAGCAGUGAGAGCUGAUCUGGGAGGAUUUGUCAACAUCAACUGUAGAACCAGCCAGAAUGUUUAUGUUAGUGGCAGCUCCCACUGUUUAGCCUGGUACCAACAGAAAGAUGGACAAACUCCUAAGCUCCUCAGUUAUUAUAGCAGCACUCGAGCAUCAGGGACUCCAAGUCGUUUUUCAGGCAGUGGAUCAAACUCUGACUUCACUCUGACCAUCAGUGGAGUUCAGGCUGAAGAUGCUGCAGUUUAUUACUGUCAGAGUUUUCAUUACCCCAAUAGCCAGCAUGUGUUCACACAGUGA